ensembl:lncRNA
AUUUUUAUUUGCAAAUGGUACUUGCUGUGACAAUGCUGCCUUUUGGGGAUAAUGGUAAAACAGCCAACAAAUUCAAGAGAACUUUGCAGACCAGUUCUAUCAGAAAUUCAACCUUAUUUCAGCUUUUAGCAUCAGGUGAAUUGGAGAUGACCUUCUCCUGGGAACUCCAGCUUGGGUUUGGGUAUUUCUUGCUAAUCUCAACUGUUAGAAUGCAAAUUGUUUCUUUGUAUCCAGUGAAACAUUAAGUGUCUGUCAUUUGUUGCUACCUUGCAACCUCUUCCAUUGUUUUUUUGGGUUUUUUUCUCUUUUUCACUGCUCAGUCCUGUAUUAAGAUUUCAGUAUUAUGGAGCUUUUGUAUUGUAAAAACUAUUACACAAUGCCCUUCAUUAUGGGAAACUGUAAAUCCAAGCACUGAAUAAGUAUUUCCCUCAAUUGUAUUGCAUUAUUUGACAUGCAGUCCCGAUAUGAGGUUUCUUCCUAUCUUGACUAAAGUAUGUUUCUGUCUAAAUACGUCAUCCACAUGACGUGUUUGUGGUGGCAAGAGCAGAAGGGGAGUAAGGAGCAUCCAGAACUAAAUAUGGUCACUGUGGUUCAUAAUAAAAUAAGGGAGCUGGUCAUUUAAAUUUAAGUGAAAUCAUAAAUUUCCUCUACAGAAUUUGGGAGAAAAAUGCUACGAGAAUGAGAGGGAUCAGUUAUAUUGAGUAAAUAAAAAUAAAAAUGUUUAAAGCCUUCUGACAACGUAAGAGGCUGCAGCUAAUAGGAAGAAGUCAGGAUUCAAAUGCAGAAUAGAAAGAACAUCAAAUAUAGAUGCUUCACUGAUACUCAAUUUGAGGGAAUCUAUUUCUUGUGUUUUAAGUGUGAUGGAUAUUUAAAACAGCUCCUGCUAUAGGAAAUGGUGAUAACUGGCCAAGUUUCUACACAGUGCAGAGACAACAGCUUGACAAGACAAUAUUAAUGUGAAAAAUGCAAAAGCACUUGCUUUGCCGUGCAAAGUGUUUAACAGGACAUGGGCUCCACCCUUUCCAAGAAACCACCAUUUGCUUGUGUAAUGCCUUGACACAUCGUUAUAACUCAGCUGAAGAAUUUCACAGGACAGGAGAGAGAACACAUCCACAGCAGCAUUAUUAAAUUUGUCAGCACAUAAACAGACCCAACAAAUGGGAUUCAAUUUCUUAUUGGUAGGAUGCUCCAAAGUGCACCGGGAAAGCUGGCAGCUCCUACUGUUCUUCAGAGCAGUUCUAAUACUGUUCCUAAAUGGGAAGGCAAAAGCUGCCCCAAGCUGUCAUUGAGCACUCUGUGGGUAGUCAUAAAAAGCAAGAAAUUGGGUUUGUAACUCACUUAUACACCCUGUGUUUUGCAAAGCGUCAUGUACAUCAUGUGAAGUAUUACAUAUUGCUGGAAUAUAAAUUCAGCAUUUGCCAGCUUGACCACUACUAGAAAUGCAUUAACAGUUUUAGGCUUAAUUUUCUGUAGCUUUUAAAAAAUAAAAUGCAUGAAAAGACUUAUAAUUAUGGUGAUAGCUCUAUGCUUUAGAAAGUGAUGAUGUCACUUAAAGCUCCUGUCCAAAAAGAGUCCCCAACCAAAAAACCCUUCAGGACCUGUAACCCCAACUCUGGAAAUCAAUUUGUGGAUUAUUUUUCUGUUCUGAAGCAUGGAAAGUUUAUUACAAUACAUUUUUUAUUACUCUCACAAUUGGCUUUCUGACUCAUUAAUCUGGAAAGCUGAACCACAGGAGAUUGAGAGAGCAGGUGCUGCACCAGCUUAAGCAUCAAUCAGUUAUGAAGAUACUGGUCAUUAAAAAAAAAAAAGGUCUUGUUAAAUUAAUGCCUAGUGAGCUAAAUACUGAUUUGCUCUAUGAUAAUUUUUUGAGAAUCUUCCACUGGAAGGGGCUAUGCUUCUGAUAACAGCAUAAAUAAUUUCCAUAUGCAGUGAAAUUCAAUAGAGUAAAUAUUUCUUUUCUAAGGAGAUUGUGACCUCCAUUGCUAUGGUGUUGUGAAUGAAAACUUAAAACUAUUAUCUUAGGUUGAAAUUGUUCCUGAUGUCGAUGCAGAUUUUAGUUUAGACUAAGGAUGAAAACCAGAACCCCUGUUAACUUCAGCCGGGAUUUCCAUUUAAUUCUCCAGUGUCAGAAUUUCCCUUUUAAAUAAUGUUGGGGGUUUUUAGUAAAACCACCUUCCAUUAAAAAAUUAUGUAUAAUUUGGCAUACAUAUUUUGGCCAUGGAAGACUCUCUCCUGGGAGAGAGUGAAGCACACAAACAUGCAGGUUAUCAAAGAAUUCGUGGAAAUUCUCAUCUGUUCCAAGUCCUUGAAUGCUUAUUCUUUUGUUAAGAGCAAUGUUUCUGAGUCUAUUUUUAUUCUCUACAGUUGAUUUGAAAGGUGCUUGAGGAAAGUAAGGAGUUUUUUUCAGAACUCUAUCAGAAUUUGGAACAUUUAAUUAACAGUUAUAGCAGAGAGUGAGAGAGAGGCUCACAGAAUUACACAGCUACCACAUAUCAUUACCAUGUGUUGGAAAGCAUGGCUGACUUUCUACUGGCAUCCCUCUUCCCAGGAAAGCAAUGCAUUUGAAACUUGAUCUGAAAAUGUUAUUGAUUAGGGAAUGCAGUAGGGAGGGCAGAAAACAUCAGGUUCUCUUCUGCCACCAAACAAUUAUAAGGCUUAAGAAAGACAUCUCUUGCUAUUCAUUCAUUUUCCCAUAUGCAAAAUGUUGGACUAAUAACGUUAUCCCCUUUGAAGACUGAUUUGAUGCUUAAUGAAAUACAAUUAAUGUGUUGGUUUAGCUUUAUAUUUAAAGCAAUGUUUACAUCUGUAAGGUGAAUUUUUGUUUAGCAAGAUAUAGGGAUUAAAGCUCUUUCUACACCUGAGAAUCAUUAUUCCCCUAUUUGCUCAGGUCUUCCACAUUUGCCUGUCUGGAGUAACAGAGAGGCAAAGUUAAAAGAUGAGCUCUGAUUUCUGAAUCAGAUAUAAAGAGGUUGUUUGUACCUCCAAAGAGAAGCACAAGAGACGAAGAGACUUCCACUAAAAUACCAGACUUUGCCUAGAAAACUUUGAGAUAUCAACUCUAGUUUAAUGGUCUUCUUACCAUAAGCUUAUUGUACUUCACAAUUUCCUUUACACGCUUAGGUUAUAUAAGAGUUUUGUCCACUUUUUAUAUGAAAAAUAAAUUUGGUUUGAUACUAUUUUCAGACAGAAUGAAUUGUAUAAUUAACUUCAAAGUUUAACAAAACUUGUAGCCAGAAGGUUCAUGAAAUAUGUAUGAGCCCCAGCACUUCAUCUGCCUUUUUACUGGACAAAGGCAUGGAGGGCUGGUGACUGAAAGUGGUCUGGUCUGGAACUCCCUCUGGGAUUCUUUCUAUCCUUGUGAAUUUAAAAUAAGGAUGAAGUGACAAGCAGAUGUCAGUGUUUACAUGAUUCCAGAACAGACCUCUCUGGAGAGGAGAGGGAAAUUCCAACAAAAAGCUGUGAAUUAACUCUUUCUGCCUGGGAUACCAUAAAGGCAAAUCUUUAAAUAUUAAAUGUCCUUUUUGUGGUUUAAACAAAACUGGUGGUUUUACAUGGGAGUUGCCAGAUGAGGUUCGGACAUAACAUUGAGGAGGAUUUCACAGGAUAUACUUCUUUUUACCACCAACUGUUGGACAGUGAGAUUUGGGAUUUGACCAGAAUCCAUGCGGCAUUUCUCAGUAAAAAGUGUAUUUCACUUACUGCUUUAGUUUAUGGAUUCUGAAAAGGUCUGUAUCCCAUACCUCUUCACAACUAGAAUCAUCCAAGUUAUUAAUUUCACUCACUCUUUGAAACUCAGUAUGUAUAGAUAUUACUAGAAACUUUAAAACAAAUUUUUCUUUACCAUUUUGAAAGAUCCUUAAAACUUGCAACUAGUAAAAAGAAAUAACAGUAACCAAAAAUUCAACAGGACCUCAGGACAAAAAUAAUGAAGCAGGAGUGUGAAAACUGCAGGCAGAAAAAGCAGCAGACAUGUUACAGACUGAAGUACAUUUGUAAAUUGCUUUGCAAUUGAUGUUGCUACAACAUUAUAAAAAAGAUGGUCAUAGGCAGCUCCCGUUCUGAGAAUCAUUGUUGGAAAAACUCAACUGGAAUUAACUUUCUCACUCCAGCCAUCAGCAAGCUUAGUUUGAAACACAUUUUACACUAUUCAAUCUUAAUCUGUAUGAUUUGAGAACAGUUGUAUUCACUUUGUCAGAACAAGGGGAACAGUGAUAGUUCAGAACUGAAAAAUCUUCUUGUGCUCUGAAUCAUAAAUUAAAUGUUUAUUUUAUAAUAAAUCAAUACAUUAAGAAUAAAAAAAAAUAUGAAUGGCUUAAGUCACCAAAGAGUGGAAGUCUUUUAAGAGAGAAAUAUCUGGUUCAACUGAGUGUCAGCCACAGAAAGAAUAUUGGGAAUUACUUGUGGAAAAUGACUCCAGAGAAAAUGCAGGGCUUGGCCACAGUGUUGUAGAGCCUGUGAAGAAACAGUGUGAGGCAAUGAAUGCAGGUCUUACCUUUCUUCAGCCUUCUACCCUUUUGUGUCUAUUACAGGGACACUUUUAAUACGUUCUGGACUCUUGCCCAUGUUCUGUGCUGAUGCUUUGUGAUAUUACCAAUGACUGAGAACGACGUGUGCAAAUGGUGUGGUUUUGGAGGUGCAGACUCUUUCACUACAUUGUCUCCAUGCCAGGAGGUGCUGGAGGGGCACGUUGGCUGAACUGAUGAUCCUUGCCAGACCUGAAACUGGAUUAUCUACUUUGGGAUGCUUACCUAGAAACAGACUAGUUGCUGUUAAAGCCAUAUGCUUUGCCUAGAUGUUUUUCUGCUGUUUUUCUCUGAUAAACUAAUACAGUUAGAAUGACACCAGAACUUUGCUUUUUCCUUCUGCUCACUGAAAGGUUUCAAGACUGAAAGCAGUUUCUCUGUAGCAGAUCUUCAGGCUGUUCAGAAGCAUCUAAGUAGAAUUUAGCACUGAAGUAAGUGCUAAAUUCUUCACUGGACUGAAGUUGCACUACCUUUUGAACGGCAGUAAAUGAUUAAGUAUAUUGAAUAGGAAAGGUGCCUAGGCAGACAACCUUUUUAUUUCUGCUGUCCACCAAACACACUUCUCUCAGAAAUGCACCUCUGCUUUCUUGUCAUUCAUGGAUUUAAAAAUAGUAAUACAUCCUGUGGCUGCUGGAGCAAGAAUACCCGAAUUUAUGCUUUCAUGAGGUAGUUUUCCUCCAUCCAACUUGAUGUACUGUCAGUGAAACUAUCCUUAGUGGAAAUAUAAGUAUUUAAGAGAUGGUUGUGUUGGGAAGCUACCAGAAAGAACUGGGAUAAAUUCAACACUUGCCCUGUGCCUUCUUCUUACACACUUUUUCUGUUGUCUUUUUAGAGUGACUUUGCCUUUUUAUUAUUGCUAAAUUUGCAAUGUUUAACACAGACUUGAGCACCACUUGUCUGCAUGUUCAGUAGCGGCUUUUUUUAAAUCUAUAGUGUGGCCACUAUGGCAAGGUCAUGUCUGUGUUGUACAAUUCUCACUGCACAUCUGACAACAAAGUCCACCACUCAACCAAUGCAGGCUCAUUUAGAUGAGUCAGCAGGGAUCUAUGUGACUUCUUGUCAUAAUUCUGUCAUCUCCAGCAAUGUAAACUAGCAGGACCUGUAGGGACUGAGUGUGCUGGGUGGUCGGAUGACACUGAUUCCAUCAAACCCUCCAGAAGAGUCCUGAAGGGUGGAGUGAGCCUAUUCCAAUGGAAAGGGCAUGGAAGGCAUGCUUAUUUCCAUGGAAAACCAAGGCAGAAGAGCAUUAACUUAUGGCUGCUGUAUGGACAGUAGUGAAGAAAGAAAAUAAAAGAAAAAAAAAAAA